GCGCAGCAGUCGCGAAACCUCCGCAAUGCGGGAAACCGUGACGGGGUCACCCCGAGUGCCACCCGCUGAGGGUGGCUUUUCCCCGGUCUAAAGAGCCGGGGGAAUAAGCGGGGGCGAAGACUGGUGUCAGCCGCCGCGGUAAUACCAGCCCGCGAGUGGUCGGGACGUUUAUUGGGCCUAAAGCGUCCGUAGCCGGCCCGGUAAUUCCCUCCUUAAAGCCCACGGCUCAACCGUGGGAACGGAGGGGAUAAUGCCGGGGCUAGGGGGCGGGAGAGGCCGGGGGUACUCCCGGGGUAGGGGCGGAAAUCCUGUAAUCCCGGGAGGACCGCCAGUGGCGAAGGCGCCCGGCUGGAACGCGCCCGACGGUGAGGGACGAAAGCU
rnacentral:rRNA from 1 species